CUUCCUCUUACCCCAUUAUUGAGGAGCUCCUGAAUCUUCCUGUACUCGACCGAGUCUCGUUCCAGCUUGUCUCUGUAAACAGUAAGCUGCUGUCGGUCCUUCAGGUCUCUAUACGUCUGAACGAACACAUGGAAAACACGAGCCACGCUGAGCUUGAGCUCGGGGUCGUCGAUGAGGUUCACAUACUCCUGCAGCACCUGCAGAUCAUGGGAAACUGCAGUGAGGUGCAUGCUGGGACGGGCCGAGAGGCAGUUUUAUUACAACAUGUAAUCUGAUGUACCUGAACAGGGGCGCUGUUCUUCUGCAGGAUGUCCACCACUCUGUGAAAGCCAACGGGAGACCUCUUCUUGGUGUAGCCCAGCCAGUUCUUGGUGUUGAACAGACUGUCCACAUCAAACCAGGAUUUCAACUUGGCUCUCGCGCCGAGAGCCGUGAGAAUGUACUGCUUUUCUGAAAUCUGGCCAAGAGGAAAGGAAACUCAAAACUGUCAUUAAAGACUUCCACAUAUGCUUAUUUA